rnacentral:rRNA from 1 species
CCCUUAGAUGUUCUGGGCCGCACGCGUGCUACACUGAGUGGAUCAGCGGGUCAGGUUGCGCGAAAGUGUUUCCUAAUCUUGAAAUCCGCUCGUGAUGGGGAUUGACGGUUGCAAUUUUCCGUCAUGAACGAGGAAUACCUUGUAAGCGCGGGUCAUCAUCCCGCGCUGAAUACGUCCCUGCCCUUUGUACGCACCGCCCGUCGCUCCUACCGAUUGAGUGGUCCGGUGAGGCUUUGGGAUCUGAGCGGAAAGAGCGUUUCGCUGUUUCUGCUCGGAAAACUCAGUCGAACCUCAUCAUUUAGAGGAAGGAGAAGUCGUAACA